rnacentral:lncRNA from 1 species
AGAGCGUUUUGGCUUCGGAAAUGUUUCUUGUCAUUAGCAUUUAAAAAAAGCUGUGAGAUUCAGGCCUAUCAGCACCGAUUCACAGCAAACCCUGGCUUGCACAGGUUGUUAUCUAUUUCGCACAGAGGUACAGCUGGUUAGCAAAUGGAUUUGCAGAUUUUUUUUUGCAGGGAUGAGUAAAAAGGCAAAGAAUCAGGUACUUACAACCCAUUCAGAAUGUAACAAUUUUGUUUGUGUUAUAAACCAAACCUUCUGUUUUUGCAAACUGCAUUAUUUUUAGAAACAGAACCAAGGAGAAAAAACCCAGCUGAUUUAAAAAAAAUCUUUAUUCAUAUUCCAAUAUCCCUAAGGGUUCUAAUAUCCACGAAGUAAUACCAGCAAAGAGAGCAAUAGGCACAACAGACUCCCAUGAUUCAGUGUGCAAUGCUGCUUUAUUGUGUUAGCAGUCAAGUCAAAGGCGCUCUCUAAUAUUUUUUAAUUUUUUAUUCCUCUCUAUACUCUGAGAUGUAAAGGGGGAGAGGGUGCUAGGUAAAGUCACGUGUGCAUGUGGCAGAGAGAGAGACAGAGGAUAUUGAGUCCUCAUUUGGAAAGGUGCAGGUAAUUCAUUCCUUUUAAUAUUUACAUGACCCGAUAACAGUGAUCCGAAAUUGAUGCAAUGAAGACGGUUGCUUUGUCUGAAACUAUACUACAUGGUAGCUAUAACUGAUGGAGUACUUUGGGGAAAAAAAAAAGGCAAUUACUGAAAAGAGAAAAUAAUCAGCAAGGUGUUUCUGCUGCCUCCUGGGUCUGGAGACAUUUAAAUCCUUGUCUUUUAUUAAAGGGGUGUUAUGGAGAGUUUCCCAAAGGAAGAGCUGGAGCGGGGACCUCAUUUCAUCGUGCAGUUGCCGUUUUGGCUGUGCCUGGCCAACCUGAAGCAAAUGCCCUGUCGGAGAAAAGGAUGCAUGAAAUUAAUCUGACUAUGGGAAUUGCUGCCAUUUGAGAUACGGACUUCUGCUCAGGUCGCUGGUGGAGCUGCAGUCAUGGGUUGCUGCUGGUGAGUGGUGGCUAGACUGUUUGAAGAGGGCCCACGCUCUAGUGGAACUGUGGUUUGCUUCCAAGGUAGACAGAGCAAGGCAUGGCACACUCUUGCCUGCCUUUCCCCAAGCAUCCCCCACCCCUACCCACUCAGGACACGUUUCUCCCUCCAAAUAGGAAAAUAGAAACACAGCCUGCAUUUUCAGUAUUAAAUUUCAAUUUCUGGAUCUGAUUGGGAACAAGCUACCCGAAAAACGAAGUUAUAAGGCUUCUCCUUUUUCUUAUUUUUCCCCCUUUCAAAGUCUGUCUAGAAUCCUUUUAUGCCAGCUCCCUGGGGAGGUGCAUUGGCACUGUGGGAAACACUCCAAUUUGUCUUACGUGGUGGGAGGGUUCUUAAUUGUCAGUUUAAAAAAUAAUGAUCUGUAGCUGAUUAAAGAACUGAGGAAGCCUUAUACUUUGAGCCCUUUAAGGGGGUAAUUCCUUUAACUGAGUAAUUCCAAGCAGGUAAUUCAUCUAGGCAGGACCCUGAACAGCUCUGUAAAGCCCAAGACCAUCUAGGAACUCUUGAACUGUUUCAAAUUGUUUUGAAAUGGGUCUGAAUGCUGUUAAGAAAUGCAUAAUUUACGACCUUAACACUUGAUUAGUCGUUCAAUGACUGUUGGGAGACGUGUCCUUGGUAAUCCAGUUACCAUCCGAGACUCUAAUUAUCACUUCACAGGAGAAGUAAGGCUGGGUAAUUGAGAACCAAAAUUCUUCCAGGGCUGGAAGCAGCCAUUCUCUUCUAGAGUUAAGCAAACUACUCCUCUACUUGUAAGGUGUCUAAUUGGUACCAAAUGAUGGGAAGGAAGAGACGGUGUUCUGUCUUUCAGAAGAGAGUGAGUUGGGAGCUCCUGUCAAGACAGCACAAAGUUGUGCUACUAAGAGAUCUCUUCUGAUGAAAAAGAUUUCACUUUAUUUGAAAUACG